AUGAAAUCUAUAUUCGAUGAAACAUAACACUUAAAAAUUGAUUUCAACCAUAUUAACAUAUGAGAAUGAGGUAAACUUUGUUUUUGAAACUCAAUCGUACAAACAUCUGUUUCAAAAAAAAAAACAAAAUUAAAGACAACAUGCAAAAAAACCAAAAAAUGUAAAAAGGUUAGUUCAUUGAAAAAGAAAAGGAGAAAGUAAAAUAAAAAGAUAAUAAGUUUUUGGAACUCACUUGCUUCAACUUCUCCAAAAGGUUGUCAAGAUUUGAUAAAAUGUAGCAUGUCAUCAAAUUUCAUUUUAAAUAUUCUAAAAAUUAUAUCAGGCAUAUCCUCAGGUUUAAAUUCCUUUUUUUUUCUUUUUCAAAUUCUCUUAUAAUUUCAGGCCAUUUCACAUUAUAGGUAAAUAAAAUCAGGAUGUCCAUAUUCUUUACAAAUAGUCAUAGAAUCUUGAUAGUUGUUAAUCAUGUAUCUAGGACUUGCUGUAUAAGAAGCAGGCAAUACAAUUUUUUGGCAUUAUUGUCACCCCUUGAUGUAAAUUCCUUUGCAAACUUCGCUUCUCAAAUUUUUCUGAUUUUGUCUAAUGUAAUCCAAUCUAUCUUCUUCAAGUGUUGCACAGAGUCUACCAAAUACUGUUGAAAAAGUCAACCACCUUUUAACAAUGUAGUUAGAGAUGGUUCUCACUCUUGAAUUUGAUAAGCUAUAUAGACUCUUAUAGGUAUUCUUUGUCUUUUUGUUUUUGGACCUUUAUGAUUUUCAUUCCAUUUUAAAUCCAGUUUAUACCCAACUUCACCAUAUGAAAAAAGAUAGAAUACUGAAAUGCCAUAAACUUUGGAUUCAAUUUUGUAAUAGGUUUUAACCUUUCACUUCUAGAGUCUACAAUGAUAUCUAUGUUAGAAUUAGAGAGGCCUAUAUCACUAACAAUUAAACCACCCAUUUCAUCACUUGUUGGUUGGUCAUAUUGUUUGCUAUCAUUUGGCUGCCUUCCUAAUAAUGUCAACUUAUAAUAAUGUCAACUUAUAAGAAAUGAGACCAUCAGUUUCAAAUUUAUCUCUUGCCAUCUGAAAAAGUAUGACCAACUUAUUUGAUUCAUCAAACAUUUUAAUCAAACCUUCUACAAUUUUUGAAUCAAGCUUUACAUUCUUUCCAUCACAAUCAAAAGCAUUUACACGAUUUUGCACUUCAUUAUAUGUAUCAUAAAUAUAGAACUGAGCAAAUUUUGAAGAUUCAUUAUCAGCAUGGAGAAGAGAUCCCAUUAAAUGACAAACUUGACCACUAAUUUUAAAAAUAUAAGGGCUUGAUCCAUCAUUGAUUGAGUGAUCAACUUUUGCUCGCAUUGAGCUAAAUAAAAACAUAGAGUUGUACGCCCUGAUAUUUUCACGAAAUGUUAAACUUUUUUUACUUCUAGUUGGAUCAAGUAAACGGUCCAAAAAAACUGGUGUUGGUUUUGGAGUUGAAAACUUAAUUUUUCCUUGCUCUUGUCAACCAAGAUAUAAUCUUUUGGAACCCCUACAAAAAAUAAACGGAUGAAAAAUAAAUAAAUAUAAUAUGGCAAUUAGUAUGUAAUAAACUAAAUGUGAAACUUAAAACCCACCAUAAAAAAAAUAGAACCAAAUUGACAACGCACCGUUUCUAUUUUUUUGAAAAUACGCUUGACCUUUGCUCAUAAAGCUCUGAUCAUCACAAUCAAAAGGUUGAUGAAUUCUGUUUUGAGCACUAUUUGACAAAUCAACAAUUUUUUUCCCUUUUUGAUUAGAAGUGUAUUUUUUUAACUGCAGUUGUAUUUAUUCGUUGAUCAUUGUGAAGACAUUGGGUAACACUAUUUUGUAGAAUAUGUGCUUGCAGAACAGUGACAAUUUUGCUUAAUGUACUGUGCUCAUAAUUUUGGAUAUAACUGGAUCUACAAGCCAUUUUUGGUUGAUGAUUAUAUUCAAACAUUGUAUCAUGCAUUAUCAGUGAUGGUUUGUUUCGUUUGAUACCUUUAUUUGUUUCAUCAUUUAGGCAUUUAAGCCUUUUAAUUUCUGCACACCAAUAUAAAGAAAGCUCUAUUUAAGCAUUUAAGCAUUUAAAUUUUUGUAACAAAUUUAAUUAAAAAAUUCAUAAAUUAAUUUAACAACUGAUAAAAAUGUGUAUCUUCUUUGCUUUCAUCCUUUUAUCAACUAAAGAAAUCAUGAAUUCAUCAAAUAGAAAACAAAUACGAUAAUUGAAAUUGAUACCAAAACAGUAAUCAUAUAAAAAUGGUAUGAAUCCAAAAUUGCAUCUAUGGAUGCAAAUUUCCACCGUCUUCUUCUUGGACAAAAUUGCACCUACAAAACAAUUAACAUCUUUGGUCAAGGCCAAGAACCUCACCGCGCCCACAAUGAAUGGGGGGAGCUUUGGCCGAAGAACCUCCGAUGCCAAAGUUAGAAUUUAGAAAGAAAAAGUGUUUAGAGGAUUUUUGGGAGUUUUGCAAGAGUAUCAACUUAGCUUUUUAGAAGAAAUAGGGUCAUAUAUAUAGGGAAUGAGGUGUUAUUUGGUGAUUCAAUUAGCAAUUAAUAUAUUAAUUAGGUAUAAAUAUAUUAAUUGGCUAAUUAUCAUAAUAAAAGACAUGUUUUGGGAGUUUUUUGAAGGUUAUGGAAUGAGAAUGGAUG
rnacentral:lncRNA from 1 species